CGCCGGGGACGACCCCGGCGCGUCUCCUUUCCCGGGAGGACGACCUCC
rnacentral:ncRNA from 1 species